rnacentral:rRNA from 1 species
CGGCGGACGGGUGAGUAACACGUGGAUAACCUACCUAUAAGACUGGGAUAACUUCGGGAAACCGUAGCUAAUACCGGAUAAUAUAUUGAACCGCAUGGUUCAAUAGUGAAAUACGGUUUUGCUGUCACUUAUAGAUGGAUCCUCGCCGCAUUAGCUAGUUGGUAAGGUAACGGCUUACCAAGGCAACGAUGCGUAGCCGACCUGAGAGGGUGAUCGGCCACACUGGAACUGAGACACGGUCCAG